rfam:Subdoligranulum variabile DSM 15176 genomic scaffold Scfld0, whole genome shotgun sequence.
GAUAUGCGUUGAUGCGGGAGGUUGCCGUCCGCCGAUAGGCAGACGGGUUUUUCCGCGGAGUAUGUCCGAUCUUAGAACCGGGCGA